GUCGAGUUGAGUAACAUCAGCUUGUGACCCAAGUGGGGACACCAAGGUAAUGGGACAGGUCUCUGGCUUAGCCAGGUUGGGUUGGUGGCUGCACCAUGCUGCCUGCCCGCUCCAAGUUCAGAGUUGAACUAUGAGAACUGAGUGAAGACACAGGUCUCCUGGUUCCUAGACAAGGGGAUACUGCGUGAGGCUGCCUUCACAGAGCAGCGUUCACCCCUGCCUCUUCACAGUGGAGGGAUUACCGGCUGCUGCACUGUCAGCCCAUAUAACCUUUACUUUUUUUUUUACCUUACAUACACUUUG
rnacentral:SRP_RNA from 1 species